rnacentral:rRNA from 1 species
AUUGAACGCUGGCGGCAGGCCUAACACAUGCAAGUCGAACGGUAACAGGCAGAAGUUUGCUUCUUUGCUGACGAGUGGCGGACGGGUGAGUAAUGACUGGGCAACCGCCUGCUGGAGGGGGAUAACUACUGGCAACGGUAGCUAAUACCGCAUAACGUCGCAAGCACAAAGAGGGGGACCUUCGGGCCUCUUGCCAUGGGAUGUGCCCAGAUGGUAUUAGCUAGUAGGUGGGGUAACGGUUCUCCUAGGCGACGAUCCCUAGCUGGUGUGAGAGGAUGGCCGCCGACCUGGGAGCUGGAACACGGUCCAGGGGCCUACGAGACGGAGCAGUGGGGAAUAUGACACAGUGGUCGCGAGCCUUGUGCAAUCAUCCGACGUGUAUGGAGAAAUCCUUCGGUGUGUAAAGUACUUUCUGCGGUGAGGAAGGGAUUAAAGUUAAGACCAUUACUCAUUGACGGUACCCGCAGAAGAAGCACCGGCUAACUCCGUG